rnacentral:tRNA from 1 species
UCCCACAUGGUCUAGCAGUUAGGAUUCCUGGUUUUCAGCUAGGCAGUCUGGGUUCAACUCCCAGUAUAGGAC